CAAAAGGACUGUGGAGGAGAAGAGAGGAGGAGGAGGAGGAGGAGGAGGAGGAGAAGAGGAGAAGGAGGAAGAGAGGAGGAGGUUAGAAAAGUGAUGUGAUGUAUUCAGAGGAACUCCUGCUGGACUGAGGUCCUGGUCAGAGGUUCCUCUGUGUACCUGAGGUGAUCCAGGUGUGUCCUCCUCCUCCUCUCCUCCUCCUCUCCUCCUCCUCACCUCCUCCUCUCCUCCUCCUCACCUUUG
rnacentral:miRNA from 1 species